CUUGCUAAAGAAACGUGAUGAAUCUGAUGAAAGAAAAAGCAAAUUCUUGGAAGUCCUUUACGUGGUGGAUCGAUAUGCUAUAGAAUCAUUUCGACUCAUAAAUUGGUCGGAAUUGUUGCUUUCUGUUGGAAAUGUUGUUUCACGUUUGUUGUAUGAUGCUACUAAUGGUCGUCUUCAUUACGUUAUUCGAAAAAUCUAUCUUCUCAACGAUAAACAGUCUCUACCUUAUGCGAAAAGAGCUAACAGAUAUCGUAAACUAGAUCAUAUUACAGCUUGGGCUCGAGUGAAUAAUAAAAAAAAUGCCAAUAAUCCUACAUUUGCUGAUGAAACUAUUCUUUUUACA